AAGAAAAAAGAAAGACCUGAAGAGCGCCAGAGAGCACUCUGUCAUCCUAUUGGUCGACGUCAAGGAACACGUGGUCGUAGGAGAUUCUGACCUGCUAAACCUUUCGUUGAGGUGUUGUGGGGCGUCCCAGUCUGAUCCUGGCGUUAGCCACUUAUAGCAUAACAUACCCGAAUCUUUGACCAAGCUGUUAAUAGUUUGGUUGCAUUGUGGGUAAUGUAGUUGGAAUAAAAAAAGAGGACAUCUCUGGUUCUGCUGCAGCGAUUUUGAACCAUUGUGAGUCCGACAGCGUUGUAGAAGCAACUGAAUGGAAACCAAACCUCAGUGGAAAAGAUGCAUUUCCAGAUUUAACAGCAUUAAUUUGAAUCUGACCCCAAACAACGGAGAGAGAUCAAUCAAACUUGUAAAACUUUGGUACAGUUUGGCCAGUUUAAGUGCAUUGAAUACAUUUUGUCAGGAUGGAUAUUUGAGUGUGUGUGUGUGUGUGUGUGUGUGUGUGUGUGUGUGUGUGUGUGUGAGAGACUGUUUAACUCGAUUCUCUCUCAGAUGUAUUGACAGCAGCGCGUGGAGACGGAGAGCUCGACAUGUUUCUCAGAAAAAAGGCAGGAGACAGGGAGCCAUCACUCUUCUCUUCUCACCACAUUUUUUCCUCCUCCUCCUCCUCCUCCUCCUCACCCACGUCGCUCCUCUCCUGUGCUGAAGACAUAAGUGCCUUAGACAGAUGUCUGCUGCCUCUUGUCUAAAACCCUCAACGUGAGCUGCUGAGCUCGGCAAACUCUAAUUAAGAUCAAUAUUUCAAUUUUUUAGUAAAAGCGCACGAGACGGAGAGAAGACAGAGGGAGAGAAAUCAUCUGUCCACGGAGACUCGGAGAGACAAAAAGAAAGAGAGUAAAGACGAGAAGAUGGAUACCACUUCCAUGUCUGUACGGUAAAUAUGAAGCUACAGCCAGCUGCCGGUUAGCUUAGCUCAGCAUAAAGACAGAAAACUGGCUCCGUCCAAAAGGUUCACCGAGAGUCUUCAGGUCUUUCUCCAGCUUUCACCAUCUUCCCAAAUCUCAGCGAUCACUUUGCUUCAGAGUUGUCUGGUUUGCAGCCAGUUACAGAUCCGGCCUUCUUAACUCCCAGCAGACUACAGUACAGUGAACUGGUCACAACAGACUGGUAGAAGAUUUCCAACAUCUUGCUGCACAUGUCCUCAGGAAAUACAGUCUGCUCAUCUCCUUCUUAUAUGUAGCCUCCAUCUUGGUCUUCCAGUUCAGUCUGUUGUGGAUGUGGACGUCCAGGUAUUUGUAGUCCAACAUGCCAACAUCUUCUCCCAGAAUACACAGAGGCUGUGUAGCCGUCCUCUUCAUCGAUCAUCAUCAUCUCCCUGGUCUCAACCACGUUCAGAAGCAGAAGAUUUCUUCCAGACGACUUUACAAAAUCAUCCCCCAGUGCUCUGUUCUCCUCUCGCCCAUCACUUAUACACCCAACCCACAUAAGAUUAUAAAUAACAUUUAAUCUGUAACAAUCAGAUCAAUUCAAUCUGACACAAUGUUUGUUCAGAUGUCUUUCUUUCUAUUUUUGAUCAUAUUUGCUUUACACCACAGCUGCAACUAUUCUUUUAUUUAUCCUUUAUUAUCUGUAUUAUAACUGUAUGUCUUUAUUUUUCCCCCCCAGUGUCAUUCUGUUAAUCACAUUGAUAGUUAUCUAGAAUCAGGGUUCUUGGCCAAUAAACUUGAUUCUGAUUUAAUUGUAACCUCAGUUUUUGAGAAGUCAAAGGUGGAAAUUAGAAUAAAUUGAUUGGUCAUAAAAAUCCAGGUAAUAUUAGUGAAAUCCAUCUUAGAUUUAAGGAUAAAUCACUGAAAAUGUUUCCUUAUAGAAGCAAAAUAUUAAAACCAUUCAUUUUAGAAGAAACAUGAGUUCCUAACAUGUA